ACACAAAAAAAACUAGGGUUUCUCUCGUCUCUCAUUUGUUCCGCCACUCAUCCUCUCAUCCUCUGCUCUCUCUCUCUCUCUCUCUCUCUCUCUCUCUCUCUCUCUAUAUGGCGAUUCCUGGCGACUUCAUCAGGCCUCUCUCUCGGAUCUCGCCAGAUCUCUCACCAGAUCUGUGAGGAUUUCACCAGAUCGAUGAAGGUUUGAAUAGAUAGGGUUUUGAUCGAUUGGUAGAUCCUUUGUGAUAAUCUAUUUACCAAGGCUAGAUUUAGCAUUUUUUUUCUGUUACGGUUGGUUUAUUUUUAGUUUCAGUGUUAUUUUUUUGUGAUUAGCUUAUAUUCAUCUUUGGUUUUAUAUGUUUGGCUUUAUGCAACCCAAUAUUGGUCCGCAAAUUAAUGCAUCAACAGUUGGGAAAGCUCUGGUUGUGGAUAUCUGUUGGAGCACUCCUUGGGUUUUUGAUUAUCUUCAACAUAUUCUUUAUCGUAGCACUAACUUCCCUGAAUCCCCCGGUGUGAUGCUAAACCUGUGAUCAGAGAGGAAAAUGAUAUAAAGAAUUCAAAAAAUAACAGCUUACAGUAGGCUCAGCUGGAUGGCCAAUCACAUGAGCUUUGGUGGACCUCCCGUGAAAACUGAGACAGCUGAAGAAGCUGAUGAACUUAUGGGAGUAGAUGAAAAGGCAUCUGAAAUUGAGGUAGAAGUUCUUUCAGCCCCUCCAAAGUUAGUUUACAGUAAAUUAAUCUUGCGCUUCACUAGAAAGCUAUUGGUGGUUAUAGCAGACAAGUGGGAUAAUCAUGUUCUGGUCAUGGACAAAGUUGCUCCACAAAACUGGAAGAAUGGAGUCAGCUUACAGGACAUGGGUCAGACAGAAGAAAGAAGGGGUUAAAUCUGUUGAUUUGGAUGAAUUUUGUAGGGAGCUUCAAACUACUUUAGGCACAGCAAAGUGGCAGUUGGACGAGUUUCAAAGUGCCGUUAGACUGAGCUAAAAAACAGCGUCAACGACGUUAGAACAACCCGACACGAACAAUUCGUUUCCGCAAUAUCAUCCCAGAUUUCCGCAGUCGAAUCGACGUUAAAAGAAUAUUUCAGUGGGGUUUUGCAACUGAUUAUACGCAGAGAAUAUCUCUCAAGCUGCUGGGCAUUGAGAACAGAUGUGCAAAUCCUAUGCCCAAUUCUCUACAGUCCAAUUCGCAGUCCCCGCUCAUCCCCACUUCCCCAUACAUCCUUUCUGGUCAUCUGGCCCCAGAACAAUCAAUAAAGAAGGCAGCAGCAUCUUUUCUUCCCUUACUUCUGUUGCCGAUUCCGUCUUCUCCAACGUCGUUCGUGCUCCAGAAGAUCCGAUUCUCGGGGUAACUAUUAUUAUAUUGUCUACUUGAUUUUUCAUUGUUAUGUUGUUUGUUCAGUUAGAUAUAGCUUUUGCGUUUUGGUUAAACAAACUCGUAUGAUAUAGUUUUCUUGUUAUUGUUUGAUUUGAUAUGAAAAUGUGAAGAUGUGUUCAUGAUCUGUUAAAAGUUUUGCCUUGUUAUUGUUUGAUUGAUGUCUUUGCUUGAUUCGCACAUUUUAUAAUAACUAUUUCAAGAUUCAUAUUCAUGUUAAAUUGCUGAGAUACUAGCAACAUUUUGUUUGAUAUGGACUAUUGGAUCCUGUGCAUGAUGCAUUCAGGUUAUGGUUGUAUCUGUUCUCUUUGAGAUAGUUUCGUACUGUUUUAAACCUCAUUAGCAUGCUUAAGGAUGAAAAACUGGCUAUAUGAAGCGGGUUCUGGUGACAGGUUUGGGUAAAUGCGGGAUAUAAGCAAAAUGACUUUGGGUCAAAAAUUUCCGCUUUAAAAACUAUGAAUUUGGCUCGGCAUCAAAUGGUUCUGGACAAAAAUAAAGUUGGUUAAAGUAAGUCGUUUUAGAAAAAAUAAAGCAAUGACUCGAAAGGUCCCAAAUGGCCAAAAUGGACCCGAAUUGAUACUUUUUAAAUCAAACGUUCAAUUUUUUGUCAUUGAAGGAGCCUCUUUGUACCUUACCUGCUUAUUUAAGCAAAUAAUUUUGGAACUCUUUGUUCUCUCGGGUGGUGUUUAGAAAUAAUCUUUUUCACAAUGAAUAAAAAUAGGAUUCUAUAUUGCUCUUGAUUGUCAUGUCUGCUUGAGUGAUGUGAGAGUACAUUUUAGUGUCUAAAAUGUCUUUUUAUUCUACUGCCAUUGUUUGUCUUGCAUAAGAUUAGAUUUAAUAAAAUGCUUUUUGAUGUUCCAAAUAAAAACAAUACUCGACACCAUUAAAUAUUCAAAAGGAUGCAUGGUUGAUGUGGCCAUUUUGACCCAUUUACUAAUUAAUGGCUUGAUUCGGGUUUAGCCUUCAUCUCUAACGGCCUAAUAUGUCAAAUGUAUGGAGCAAAAAAUAAAAAAGAGUUUGCUAAAGAGGAAUAUGGUCGAAAAGUAUACAACCUCUAGAUAGUUGCAUUCAAGACCAUUAAGAAUUAUUGUAAUUAUCUAUUUAGUGGACUGAAAGACCUAGCCAAUAUUGGUCUGUGUGUUUUGUAAGGAUAGUUCACUGAAAUCAAAUUAUUAUUUUUAAUAAUCUAAUUUUAAAUGAUCUUGUAUGGAACGGUUUAUAGUUGGGUAACAUGUUGGCUUUGCGUCAUCUGUUGGCCAAAAUGGGUUAUGUUAACCUUCAAGGGGACAAGGGGGUGGUGCAGUAUUAACCUCGUGACAAUAGUGAUGGUUUUGACUGAUCAGCUAACAUUUCGGUCAGCAAACGGUGAUUGGUUGUAUACCAUAUUAUUAUGUGCUCUAAUUAUUGACAAGACGAAGAAGAAAAUGUUCAGCAGCUUCCUUGAGUUCAAGUGGCACUAGCAAAAGAGAGGAUAAAGUGGCUGGAGGCAAAAGAGAAAAGAAAAAAAUUCAUGUUGGCAGGUAUUUAGUUUUACCUUUAUUUUGUAUGUUUUUCUGAUGUAUUUCUAUCCAGUGAUGAGCAAAUGGCCCCACUACCAGACCAAAUCUAGGUACAUUUUCGAUACAUAUUUUGUACCGACUUUUGACAUUUUCGGUACCGGUUCGGUACCGGUUUUUACCCUAUAAUACUGGUACCGAACCGUACCAUACCGGGUAUAUUCGGUAUCGGUAUCCACUUUUGGAUAUUUAUUAAAACAAUCCGUGUUACCUGGAAAAAAGACUUUACUCAACAUAGACUGCAAAAGUACACCCAUAACCUCACCUUCACCCUAAAAAAGGUACACCCUUUUUUUGGCGAAAUCAGACUGCAAAAAGAAGAGAACCAUUCUGAACCAUUUUGCUGUUUUGGUGAAAUCUGAACCAUUUUAUAAGAGACUUUAUUUGCAGCUCAAAUCUCUAUAUCUCUGGUUUGCAAAUAAGUCCAUACAUGAACGAUUAAGCUAUUAAACAAAUGCUACAAAAGCACAUAUAACAAUAUAAAUGGCAUGUGGCUUUAGAAACAUGUUCUCAUAAUCUAAAUAUUUGAAUCUUGCAUGCUUUUAGUGGUUGAUUGUAUGCUCAAUGAUACACUCUCAAAGCAUCUAUUUUACCGUAUGAACUCCAAGUCAUGUUUUUCUUGUUUUUAUUUAUAGUUGUGUUGCUAUUUUAUUUGUGCUCACAUGCUAAAUGUGUAACAUGCAGAGAGUGUGGUUUAUAGAUACGGAACUGUGUUGCUAGAUCUUUAGCGAGAAACAUAUCCCUCCAAGCCAUGUAAAUGUAACAUGCAUUCUAUAUUUUUUUAGUGGUGGCCUUUGUAUAUUUUUCUAAUGGCGACGUUUGUAUAUUUUUCUAAUGGGACUUUUGGUUGUUCAUAGUA